ACUGGAUAUGGUAAUUGGACACCAGUCUGGAAUAAGAGCGGGUACAGAACCCAUCGGUAGACAUGGGUUUAGAACGAAGCUUCUCUUCUCAGGCUUUGUGAUUGAGCCUCGUCGACUUUGCGCGUCAACUUCGCAGGCUUUGUGACUGAAAUUGAAGCAAAAAUCAAAAGAGAAGAACGGUACGAAUCUAUGCUCUCCCAUAUCUCCUCUCUCCUCUUCUUUCAUCGCACGCUUUCCAGAUCUGAAACUCAUUCACAUCUUGGUUUCGUUUGUGUUUUUCUUCUUUUGAAAAUGUUCAGUCAAACCUCUGAUCAUAACCAGAAAUCUGAUCUUCUUGCUUGGUUGUUGGAUGGGUUUUUGCUUUUGAAGCAAUGUUUUUGUUUUUUGCUUUGUUGAUUUUCUUCGUAGCUUCAUACUGUCGAUUUUUUUAUUUUGUUUCAAUUUAAUUUUGUUUUGUUUUGGGUCAUCCUAAUCACCAGUUUUGAUUUUCUUCAUAGCUUCAUAUCCAUCCUAAUCACCAAUUUUUGUUCUUUUCUUAUUUGGUCUUCAGAUUGUAUUGUUGGGUUCCGAUUCAUAGUUCUAUUGGGAAUGGAUUUCAAGUGAAUAUCAAAUUUUGAAGAUCUGGUGCGAAUCACUUUUACUGAUUUCAUAUUGGUUUUCUUUGACUUUUGCUAUUUUUGGAUUUGAAUUUGAAGAGUGAGAGGAGAUAGCAAAGGGACUGGCUUUAAGAAAAUUGCAGAAUCAUUUGAAACUUCAAUGGCUUCAAGAGUGGAGAUUGGUGAAGACGGUGAUACCAACAAAGGCAGUAUAUUUGAAUGUAUUUUUGUGAAUUUUAGGACUAUUUUUAUGAUAUCUUCAUGUGAUUUCUUAUUUUUAAUUUUGUGUACAUG
rnacentral:lncRNA from 1 species